GGCUCAGAUUGAACGCUGGCGGCAUGCCUUACACAUGCAAGUCGAACGGCAGCGACCGUUCGGGUGCCGGCGAGUGGCGAACGGUGAGUAAUAUAUCGGAACGUACCUUCAGUGGGGAUAACGUAGCGAAAGUUACGCUAAUACCGCAUAUUCUGUGAGCAGGAAAGCAGGGGAUCGCAAGACCUUGCGCUGAUUGAGCGGCCGAUAUCAGAUUAGCUAGUUGGUGAGGUAAAGGCUCACCAAGGCGACGAUCUGUAGCGGGUCUGAGAGGAUGAUCCGCCACACUGGAACUGAGACACGGUCCAGACUCCUACGGGAGGCAGCAGUGGGGAAUUUUGGACAAUGGGCGCAAGCCUGAUCCAGCCAUGCCGCGUGAGUGAAGAAGGCCUUCGGGUUGUAAAGCUCUUUCGGCCGGGAAGAAAUCGCACAGGUUAAUACCCUGUGUGGAUGACGGUACCGGAAUAAGAAGCACCGGCUAACUACGUG
rnacentral:rRNA from 1 species